rnacentral:rRNA from 1 species
GCUCAGGAUGAACGCUAGCUACAGGCUUAACACAUGCAAGUCGAGGGGUAGCAGGGUAGCAAUACCGCUGACGACCGGCGCACGGGUGAGUAACACGUAUCCAACCUUCCCAUAACUCGGGGAUAGCCUUUCGAAAGAAAGAUUAAUACCCGAUAGUACUUAUAUAAGGCAUCUUAAAUAAGUUAAAGAUUUAUUGGUUAUGGAUGGGGAUGCGUUCCAUUAGAUAGUUGGUGAGGUAACGGCUUACCAAGUCUUCGAUGGAUAGGGGUUCUGAGAGGAAGGUCCCCCACAUUGGUACUGAGACACGGACCAAACUCCUACGGGAGGCAGCAGUGAGGAAUAUUGGUCAAUGGGCGAGAGCCUGAACCAGCCAAG